AGUAACGCGUGGGUAACCUGCCUUAUACAGGGGGAUAACAGUCAGAAAUGGCUGCUAAUACCGCAUAAGCGCACAGAGCUGCAUGGCUCAGUGUGAAAAACUCCGGUGGUAUAAGAUGGACCCGCGUUGGAUUAGCUAGUUGGUGAGGUAACGGCCCACCAAGGCGACGAUCCAUAGCCGACCUGAGAGGGUGACCGGCCACAUUGGGACUGAGACACGGCCCAA
rnacentral:rRNA from 1 species